CUGCUUGCAGGGUACUCGAGUGGCGAACGGGUGAGUAACACGUGGGUGAUCUGCCCUGCACUUCGGGAUAAGCUUGGGAAACUGGGUCUAAUACCGGAUAGGAACCAUCUUUAGUGUGGUGGUUGGAAAGUUUUUUCGGUGUAGGAUGAGCUCGCGGCCUAUCAGCUUGUUGGUGGGGUAAUGGCCUACCAAGGCGGCGACGGGUAGCCGGCCUGAGAGGGUGUACGGCCACAUUGGGACUGAGAUACGGCCCAGACUCCUACGGGAGGCAGCAGUGGGGAAUAUUGCACAAUGGGCGCAAGCCUGAUGCAGCGACGCCGCGUGGGGGAUGAAGGCCUUCGGGUUGUAAACUCCUUUCGCUAGGGACGAAGCUUUUUGGUGACGGUACCUAGAUAAGAAGCACCGGCUAACU
rnacentral:rRNA from 1 species